rnacentral:rRNA from 1 species
GACGAACGCUGGCGGCGUGCUUAACACAUGCAAGUCGAACGGAAAGGCCCUGCUUUUGUGGGGUGCUCGAGUGGCGAACGGGUGAGUAACACGUGAGUAACCUGCCCUUGACUUUGGGAUAACUUCAGGAAACUGGGGCUAAUACCGGAUAGGAGCUCCUGCUGCAUGGUGGGGGUUGGAAAGUUUCGGCGGUUGGGGAUGGACUCGCGGCUUAUCGGCUUGUUGGUGGGGUAGUGGCUUACCAAGGCUUUGACGGGUAGCCGGCCUGAGAGGGUGACCGGCCACAUGGGGACUGAGAUACGGCCCAGACUCCUACGGGAGGCAGCAGUGGGGAAUACUGCACAAGGGGCGGAAGCCUGAUGCAGCAACGCCGCGUGCGGGAUGACGGCCUUCGGGUUGUAAACCGCUUUCGCCUGUGACGAAGCGUGAGUGACGGUAAUGGGUAAAGAAGCACCGGCUAACUACGU